UGUUGGUAGAGGGGGUUGACCGCAUUACUACCUUUAGUCAUUAGAAAAUAUUGGAAAAUAUUCAUUUUUUGUUAUUUUAAUAAUAUCUAAAUAUUAUUUAUCCAUUUAAAAUUAAUAAUUAUAAAUUUAUUAAAUUUUUUCAUAUAAAUUAAUUGGUGAAAACAUAAUAUUUCGACUUGUAAUGUGUAAUAAUUGAUGAACUAUUUUGUUGAUAUGAGGCGUAGUAAUACACACUGAAGGCUUUAUUAACCCCACUCUUGAUUGUUGAGUGCGUCAUUCCAGGGCUGUUAUUCGUCGAGUGUAGACUGUAUCUUGCUCGGUUGGUCUUGAAGACUGUGCAUCGAUAUUCGGAGGAACUCACCUUUGACGUCGAUUAACACACGAGCUUGCUACAGUCUCACCGUUGAUGAGAUGGCAUUGGAAUGAUCAGCAAGAGAGAGCAAAGGAGAUGUGAUGUGAUGAGAUGAGAUGAGAGGAGAGGGAGGGGGCUGUGAUGAUUGCAGCAACAUUCACUCACUUGCUUGCGUGCUUUCUUGCUUAUGUUGGUUGAUCUCUCUCUCUUACCUGACAGAUGACACAUACACACAGAGAGACAUUGAGAGAUGAUGUCAAGCCAAUUUCAUCGUCGGUUUGAUGGAGUAAUGGAAAUACCUACGUAAGAAAUUUGAAUUCAUAUAAUAAUAAAUAAAAUAAAUGUUUGAUUUAAAACAAAAAAAUAUAAUUUAUUUUUCGAGUUUAAAAUAAUUUAAUACACAACAAAAACAAUAUAAUUUAAUGCAUGAAAAUAUUUAUUAGCUAUUAAUACCAUAAACAUCAUCCUUUUCAGUUUACAAUGCAAACACCUUGUUCAAUUGAAAGACAAAAAUAUGUACUCAAAAUCCAUUAAGAGGAAAUGAUUCGAUCGUCCGGAUAUUAUUGUUGUUGUUGUUGUUGCCAUUUUCUAUAUCAACAGCGUCGCAAUGGCCAAGUCACAUCAAUCACAGACAUUUAUUUUGAUACAUCUCGGUGAGAUUAAAAAAAAAGAAAUUGGAUUUGUUUGAUUAUAUAUUUUUUUUGAUUAAAUUGUGGGUUAAAAAUAAAUUUAAGGUAUUGUAAAUUGAGAGGUGAAGGGGAGGGGGGGGGGUGUAGGGAACAAAAAAAAUGUAUGUUUUUGUAGAUGAUGGCCAUGAUGUACAUGUAUUAUCAAGCGGCGCUGAAUGAACCUGGCUGAAUAACGUCGUCGUCGACUUGUUGAGCUUGCCCAAAUAAAUAAACUACAGCCACUUUGCACUACUCCUCGUCAUCAUGUUGUUCGUCUCUGUGCGUGUGUUUAUGUGUACAUCGUUACCUUGACCACUUGAAAUAAUAAUUAUCAUCAUCAUCAUCAUGAUCACCACGACAAUGGAUUGUGAAAUAUGUACUACGGAGAACCUCGCACAAGUAUUUUACAUAUAUAUAUAAAUAAAUAUAAUAUUAUUAUUAUUAGUAUCAUCAUCUAGAAGGAAACAUACACAAGUACAAAAUGACACUUGGCUGUUUUUUGGUGAGCUGUGUUGUUAAUCCUUGCAAUAAUAAUAUUUAUGUGUUGGGGAAAUAUUAGUAUAUUUUCCCAGGUUCUCCGGAUGUCAUCAUCCAUAAUGGAAUGUGGCUUCUUUGACAUUGCACUGCACACUGCUCCACAUUUAUGCUGAUUUACAAUUCAAAACGAGAACGGUAUCACAAUUCUACUAAUGAAAUUUAAUUUUUAUUUUAUCAAUUUAUAAUAAUAUUCGUAUUGAAUAUGAACAUGUACGACGAGAUGUAUGAUAUAUAUAUAUAUAUAUAUGGGAUGGAGGGGGGUAAAAAAAAAAAAGGAAAAACGUAUGAUUUUAGUCACAGGAAAUCAUCAGCCUCAUGUUGUCCUGACUAGAUGCAGUUUUAAUUGGCAAGUACCCAAACAACGAGCACCAUUGUCACAAUCAGAGAGAUUCACUCCUAUUGCUGUACUAUUUUUAAAUGAAUGAACUGAGCACAACUUUGAAAUUAUAUCAGGUAUUUAAAUUUUCUCCAAUGGGGAAAAAAAUAAAAAAAAGAAAUAUGGGAAUAGGGGUGGGGUUUUUUUUUUUUUUUUGUUUGUUAUGUUCAGAAGGUGCUGUCAAUAAUAGUGGAGAUGAUAUAGUAACCAGGCUGAUUUAAUAACGAAAAUUGGAGCAUGCUCUUUAUAUGAAAACUGAUUGGUCACAUCAUCCCAAUACAUACAAAUACGUGAAACGAAUUAUCAACAUGGAUCGAUUCCAAUGCGCUAUAAUAUUUAUCAAAAAUUUUCCAUGAUUUAUGAUGGCAAUAAGGGGUAAUAUGUCAAUCAGGGGUAAGCGGCAAUUAAUGAGCGUUAUUCUCUUUUUUUUUUUUCCUCUUGUUCUUCUUGUUAUUGUUGUUGAGCUUCAAAAACAAGUCAGGGUCUUGGAGACUGAUUAAGCUAAUCCGGAAUGGCACAGUUGACCUUGUGAUGAUAACUAACGUACGUGGUGUAGCCUAGGACAGAUCAUACGAGAUUAAAACAUCAAGAGUAUUAUGGCGUGUGCUUGUUUUAAUUAAAAAUAUAUACGUGGGUGGAAAUCGAAAGGGAGGGGAAAAAUAAUAAUUUGAGCUACAGGCACCAGUUGAGGCGAAAUAAAACAAGAUUACUACUACCACUACUACUACUACUACGACGACGUGGUGAUUCCGGAAUGAGACAAGUUUUAUAACUAUUCAACGUAGUUGUUGGCAUUGGCAUUGUUGCUGUAUCGGUUCACAAUAUUACCAGAGCACAAAUACAUCAUCAAAAAUAUUAUCAAUCAAUCACAACCAAUAGAAAGAAAUUUAUAUAUACAUAUCAAACAGAUGAGUAACUGAGCACAAAUCAAUUUAUGCAGUUUUAUAAUAAUAUAUUGAUUGACAAAAGCCAAUGUCUUGGUCAUCUAGCUUGGCUUUGUCUCAACAAUCAUGUGGUACAGUCCAAUUUGAUCAAGAUCAUAUUAUCAUGGGAGGUAACGCACGUAUCAGUAUAAUUAUUUAUUUAAUAUACAAUCUGUUGUUACCUAUUUUUUUUUUCUUCUUCUUCUUAAACUUUUUGUCUUCUUAAUUUUAUUUGAUGAUGAAAUCAAUUGCGUGUGUGCGUGUGUGUCUAUCUUGACAACUGCAUAUUUGUUUGGUUUUUUUUUUUCUUUUUUUGUUGAUUUGAUCGCAGGAAUCAAAUAAGCAAACAAAAUACAAAAGGAAGAUGCAAAUGAAUAAUCAAAGUAAGAGUAUCAAAAUUCAAUCCUGCAACACACCCAUAUAUAUGAGAAUUAAUCUAGGGAAUGCGUAUACAAUAUACAUAUAUAUUUAUUGUGAAACUUGGUGUGUCUAUUAAUUGACGUAAAUCGUAAUGUCAUUUGAGGUGAGAUGAGAUGAGAUGAGAUGAGGUGGGGUUUAUUCUUCCCAAUUACUAAGUAUCAUCAUAUUGCCAGGUAAAUUAUCAUACUUAUACUUUUCUUGUAUAUGUUAAUAAUCAUUAACAUUAAUUAAUAUUAUUAUUAUCGUGAAAGCGAAUUACAAUAUACAACUUGGUUAUAUAUUUGUUUUAGAAUUUGAAUAUCUGUUAGUGAACGAGAUUAUUUAUAACAAAAGUUCAGUUAUUAUUAUUAUUAUUAUUACUAUUAUUACUUUUCGUGCGCUUUGAUAAUUAUUUAAAGAAAAAGUCUGCCUAUCAUCUACCUACAUGCCCACAAAUGCUGCUGGCUUAUUUAAUGAAUGACAUACAAUUUUAUAUAUAUAUUAAAAUUAAUUAAUUGAUUGAUUGGGCAAAGCAUAUACAUACAAUAAUGCUUGGAUAUUAUCUAUCUAUUAUAUAAUGAAAAAAGUUAUUUAUCUUGUUGCAUCAAUUAGCAUUAAAUAUUAAAUAUUAAUCAGUGGUGCACUUUUAUCACUGAUAAUAAUAAUAAUCUCACAUACACACAUAAGUAUACACCUGCAACAUAUAUAAAUAUAUUAUUUUUUUUUCACUAGUGUCCUGUGAACGCUAUAAUUUCUAUUAUUAUUAUUACUAUUAUCUUUGAAAAAAUAAUUAAUGCGUGUUGUUGUUGUUAUUGCCUAUAUUGUGCACAGGCCAAAAAAAAAAAAAAAAACGAUAAGUGAAGGUGGAAGAAAAAGAAAAAAAAAAAAUGUGCAAUCAAGUUGUUUUUAAUAAUUUAGUUGAGACGUUUUAAAUGACGUUUUGUUUGUGAGCAAGUUUUUAUAAUUGUUUAUCUAUUAUUAAUAUAUUGAUGGUUACUGCAGUUGUUAUAUUAUUUAAACAUAUGCGAGUAGUUGCAUAGUGCGGUUUUAAUUUAUUUUUUAUUUUUUUCCAUUUUACAUUAUUACAAGUUGAUUGUGAUUUGUUAUUUUUAAUUUUGGUUUUUUUUUUUUUUUUUUCAAAUAGUUAUUACACAUGUACUAGUUUACCUACCUAUACAUGUUUUUUUGAAAAUUAAUUUUUUUAAUUCUUUCACAAUUAAAUUAUCAUUAUUGCAAUGCAUUUUAUAUUAUAUAUAUAAUUAAAAAAGAAAAAUAAUAAUAAUACUAUUGUGCUAUGUGAAUGAUAUAUAUAGAGAGUGAUUGUGAUUAAUUAUUAUUGAUGACAAUGUAUAUAAUUAUGAUGAUGAUUAUUUAAAUGGCCUGUUUUUAACCGCACUGCUAUAAAAGUUACACGAUUCGUGAAAAAAAAUAUAGUAAUAAUAUCCAAAAAAAUUACAUGCAAAUUGGGAUGAUGAAAGGAAAAAAGGAAAAAAAAAAAAAAAAAAAGUGUUACAUUUGUAGAAGUGGCUUAUUUCUUGCUAGAAAUCCUGAGCAUUAUUAUUAUAAUUAUGUGAGUGUUUUAUGGCCUUUUUAUUUUUUUACUUAAAAAUUUGUUAAUAUUUUUCUAUUAUCAUCAUUAUUUGAUGAUUUAUUUAUUUAUUACUAACUUUCAUAUAUAGUUUUGUCAAUCAACACAUUGUUUUUAAAUUUCAAUUACUAUUAUUAUUAUUAUUAUUAUUAUAAAUAUUAUAACAUUUUAUGUAAAUAAUUAAUGCUAUAUACUUGUUUAUGCAAAAAGACAUUAUAUUACUAAUAAUGCUCGAUAUAAUUUGUAUGUCGAUUUAAAAUAAUAAUAAAAAUAUUUAUGAUGUUGGGGGCGAGGGUGGGUCAAGGUCUAGGCUAUUACUAAUUACCCUUGCGAAUUUUUUUCAAUACAUAUUUUCAGGCAACGAAAAAAAAAGAAAAAAAAGCACUCGCACUCUGCUGCUACUUGUGCAAAAUUAUUUAUUUCAUUAUUUACUUAUUGACUGAUAAAUUGAUAAAUUAAAAUUGAAAAAUAUUGCUGCUAUAGCUGUCUGGCUACUUUUUUUGUUUGGCAUCAUGAAUAUUAUGGGAGAAUCAAGAGAUAUUAUGAUAAAGUUGGCCUGAUGUCACUGAAUUGUUGCUAUAAUUACAUUAUUGUGAUACACAUGAUAUUUGGGAAAUAAUAAUAAUAAUAAUCCUCUUGGCAUGCAUCUAUAAUCUAUAUAUUGGCUGAAUUAAAUAAUUAAAUUUUCUUGUGUCAGUACGAGUCAGUAAUCAGUAUCACCAAUUUAUAUAUACAUAUUUACAACAAACGAGUUACAAAUAGUCGUUGUAUUUAUUGUCCAGCUUUUUCAAACCAUGAUGAAGAUGAUAUUAUUAAUAUUAUAUGUUAUAACACUGCAUUUUAUUUAUAUUUGAGGAUUAUUACAUAAUAUUAUAUACAUGUAUUGCUGACAUGGUAGAGAGGUACGCGCUAUAUUUAUUUAAUUUAUUAUUUAUAUAUUAAUAAUAUUUUAAUUACAUCUAUUUAUUAAUAUUUAUUUAAUGCUUAACACAAUUUCAUGUGCAUAACAUGUAUGAUGUAUUAAUAUUUAUUUCAUCAUGAUGGAGACAAAAUAUCUGUCUUUUUUAAAACAAAAACAAUUUGGAAUUUUUAAUGAGCACUUGGUAUACAUAUAUAUAAAUGAGGAAUUAAUAAACCAGCAGCUGAAGAUUAUCAUAAACACACUAGAUCAAGUUGGGUAGUCACAUUAAUGGAUUAUGUAUAUGAGCACCACACAAUUUAAUAACGAGACGCAGACUCUUUUUUUUUCAAAUGCAGCUAUUUGUUAUGUACCUAUUAUAUAAUUGAGGAAUGAUAAUGAUGAUGGGCAUUGCGUGAGUCUUUCUAUUUAAGUAGGUAACAAAAACAUGUAGUUUUUCUCCAGUGUGUUGUUUUUUUUUUUCUUUUUUUUUCCCUGCUAACCGAGUGUUUUAGAGAUAUCAAGAUAUACCAACAAUCUUGAAGGAAUUUACUUGCUGCACUGUUGUAACUGUUAAUCACGAGGAUGAUGAUGAUGAUGAUCCUAUUAUUUAGUCACAAUGAAAUAUCAUCAGUAAAAAUAGUCGUGGCCUGAAUUAAUUAGAGCUUCUCCUUAUUGGUGAUGUUGUGGUUGUUGUUGUUCAUCAUAUUCUUCUUUUUCUUCAACUACCUCUUUAACCAAGGAAAAAACAGCGACAAUUUAUUUGGCUCAUCUUGCUAGUAGUCAUCACGUUGAUUAUGCAACUACACCGUGCCAGUCCAUAGUAUAUAUAUAAUAGGAUAGCAGUUUUAUAUUUUUUGUCAUCUACUCAUAUCAACUCAUCUAUACUCGUCAUUUGAGAUUGCAAGAUUCAGCUUCUCUUUAAUAAUAAUGAGUGGCUUUUUAACACAACUAUUCAAGAUGAAUUAUUUCGUGUUCAUCGAGGGUUGUUGCAUUAUGUAUUCAUCAUCAAUUGACGCUGCACCAAAAUACACUGAAACACAUAACUCCGCAAGUUCCUCCAAUACAAUGGGCUUUUUACUAAAUAAAUAUAUUCCCAAUAAUUGUGAUGCACCUCAUCAGCACGCAAAUUCCGAGGGUGGUAUGGAAUUUUUAUAUCUUUCUACAGUCAGCAACUUCAUGGAUGUAUCCAGAUGUAUCCAGAGUUCCAGCAAAAAGGCAUUUUUUUUCUUAAAAAAAAGAUUAUAUUCCAAUUAUUUACUUUUUACAGUUAUUAUCAUUUUUUAUUUUAUUUAACAAUAUUAUAAUAAUUUAUUAUUGGGUUGCAAAUGAUUUUUCAUUUAAAAUAUAAAAAAAUAAAAAAAUAAUAUUAAAUUUAAAAAAUUGAAAAAAAAAAAAAAAACUAAGAAAUAAAAAAAAUAGAAAUCUAAAAAAUUAAAAAAAAACAUGAAUAAAAAUAAAUAAAAAAUUACAUUAACAAAAAAAUAAAUAGAAAAUAGAAAAAAAAAAGGUUGGGGGGAGAGGGGCUGGACCAGCGCAGAAGAAAGAAGACAUCGCAGAAGAGGACCCCAGAGGAGCAGUGGACCAGAGGACUUCAUCGUGGGAUCAACCUGGACGUGGACGUGGACCUGGACCUGGACGUGGAGCUGGAUCAAGUGGACAUCAUCGUGGGACGUGGACAAGAAGACAACAUGGAUUAUUAAUUGCGACAUUGAAGGACUAGUAUGAAUCAUUAACAAGAGUCCAAUACUCAUAAAUUCAUUGGCAAUUUUGGGAAACAAACAAUGAUAUAAUUCAAAUGAAAUUUACAAUUUUUUGUCAAUCAACGUACAUACCCUUAUAGAACAAGUAAAAAUAAUUAUUUAUUAUUUUUUAUCAUCUUUCGGUUAAUUAAUAACAAUAGGCCAGACAUUUAAAUUAAAAAGACUGACAAAAAAAAGUAAACGACACACACACACACUUUAUAAACUUUUAACUUAACUUUUUGCAUCAACAGAUUCGAGUCUUUAUCUUUCUUAUUUCCAUGAUUAAAUAAUUUUAAUGAUUGAUGCACAAUAAAAAACUAAUUUUUCUAAAUUUACAACAAAUCAAAAUAUCCAAAUUCUACAAAAGUAAAAAUACACAGUAUUUAAUGAAUUAGUUAUUGAAGCAAAAGUACAAUUAAUUGACAAAAUG